GACAGAGGGUGCAAACGUUGUUCGGAAUUACUGGGCGUAAAGCGAGUGUAGGCGGUUUGGUAAGUCGGAUGUGAAAGCCUCGGGCUUAACCCGAGAAGGGCAUCCGAAACUGGCCGGCUUGAGUACGGAAGAGGGUCUCGGAAUUCCCGGUGUAGAGGUGAAAUUCGUAGAUAUCGGGAGGAACACCAGUGGCGAAGGCGGAGACCUGGGCCGAUACUGACGCUGAGGUGCGAAAGCGUGGGGAGCAAACAGG
rnacentral:rRNA from 1 species